GAAUUAAGAGUCAUCACCAGCCAGAGGCAACUGUGUCUCAAACUGUUCGAAACUAUGUUUCAAACUGUCUCAAGAAAGAGGCUUUUACCCCAUUUUCCUUUCAUCUUUGUCAGUCUCUUAUCGGGACGAGCACUGAAUAGAAAAGACUUUCUCGAAGUUGACAGUGCGGUGAAUGUUUGUGGAGAACUAACGGACGCUGACAUUAUUGCUGAGGUGGCCAACGAGGAACAAAAGGAAGAUGAGAGUGGAGAUGAGGAAGAAGACGACAUGCAAGUGAUACACAUCCUGCCUCCCGUCGAAAAGAAGCGAGGCGCAGGCUAUUGAAACCCUGCACAGAUUUUUGGAAUGUACGCCGAAUGUCGAGGACAAUAUGUGUUUCGGUCCAUUGACGAGAUUGAGGAGAUUUUGGAGCGAGAUGCGUCGGCACAUCGACGCCAAACGAAGUUAACAGACUUUUUUCUCUAAAGGCUGUGUCUGGUGGUGGAUUGCGGCACUGAGUGUACUCGUUGAAAUAUUGGUCUUUACAGCCGCACAAGUUAAUGUUCCAUCUGCGCUUGAGAGGAACGUUGCUCUAAACAAACCGUGCAAUCAAAGUUCAGAUUAUGAC